AACGUAGGUGGCAAGCGUUAUCCGGAUUUACUGGGCGUAAAGCGUGUGCAGGCGGGGGUACAAGUGGUGUAUGAAAUUUCCCAGCUUAACUGGGAAGGGUUAUGCCAGACUGUACUUCUGGAGUGCGAGAGAGGGGCGUGGAAUUCCGGGUGUAGUGGUGAAAUGCGUAGAGAUCCGGAGGAACACCGGUGGCGAAGGCGGCAUCCUGGACCAACACUGACGCUGAGGAGCGAAAGCCAGGGGAGCAAACGGG
rnacentral:rRNA from 1 species